UACGGAGGGAGCUAGCGUUAUUCGGAAUUACUGGGCGUAAAGCGCACGUAGGCGGUCUUUUAAGUCAGGGUGAAAUCCUGGAGCUCAACUCCAGAACUGCCUUUGAUACUGGGAGACUUGAGUCCGGGAGAGGUGAGUGGAACUGCGAGUGUAGAGGUGAAAUUCGUAGAUAUUCGCAAGAACACCAGUGGCGAAGGCGGCUCACUGGCCCGGUACUGACGCUGAGGUGCGAAAGCGUGGGAGCAAACAGG
rnacentral:rRNA from 1 species